rnacentral:tRNA from 1 species
CCUUCGAUAGCUCAGUUGGUAGAGCGGUGGACUGUAGCGGUGAGCGGGCGCUUCUGCGCACACGCACAUAGUUAUCCAUAGGUCACUGGUUCAAAUCCGGUUCGAAGGA